rnacentral:rRNA from 1 species
GAACGCUGGCGGCGUGCCUAAUACAUGCAAGUCGAGCGAACAGACGAGGAGCUUGCUCCUCUGACGUUAGCGGCGGACGGGUGAGUAACACGUGGAUAACCUACCUAUAAGACUGGGAUAACUUCGGGAAACCGGAGCUAAUACCGGAUAAUAUAUUGAACCGCAUGGUUCAAUAGUGAAAGACGGUUUUGCUGUCACUUAUAGAUGGAUCCGCGCCGCAUUAGCUAGUUGGUAAGGUAACGGCUUACCAAGGCAACGAUGCGUAGCCGACCUGAGAGGGUGAUCGGCCACACUGGAACUGAGACACGGUCCAGACUCCUACGGGAGGCAGCAGUAGGGAAUCUUCCGCAAUGGGCGAAAGCCUGACGGAGCAACGCCGCGUGGGUGAUGAAGGUCUUCGGAUCGUAAAACUCUGUUAUUAGGGAAGAACAAAUGUGUAAGUAACUAUGCACGUCUUGACGGUACCUAAUCAGAAAGCCACGGCUAACUACGUG